rnacentral:lncRNA from 1 species
AGCUCCUCUGCUUCUGCCGAACUGUCCGUCUCUCUCCAUGGCUACGUCUUCAGAAACUCCCAAGCCCCUCUAAGUCCAGAAGGUCACAGCUUUCGGGUGCCUGUGCUAGAAUCUCUUCAAAGGUGAACAGGAGCCAACACACCCUUUCCUUGUGUGUUAAAGGCAACCUCGUUAAAAUAUGAAUGAGGCUAACAUUUCUCAAGAAAAUAGCCCAGCUGAAUUAUUUAGAGAUCCUGGUGGUGCUCCUUUCCUACACUCUGAAGACCACUUUCCAGUAUUGGAUGAACGAAUAUACCUCAUCCAUUGGAAUUGGAGUUUUUCAUUCAGGAAUUGAAGUCUAUGGCAGAGAAUUUGCUUAUGGUGGCCAUCCUUACCCCUUUUCUGGAAUAUUUGAAAUUUCCCCAGGAAAUGCUUCUGAACUAGGAGAAACAUUUAAAUUUAAAGAAGCUGUUGUUUUAGGGAGCACGGACUUCCUAGAAGAUGAUA